rnacentral:tRNA from 1 species
GCCCCGGUCGUCUAGCCCGGUCAGCCUGCACGAGGGCCGUGAGGAUAUCGGCCUCUCGAGCCGAAGAUCCCGGGUUCAAAUCCCGGCCGGGGCACCA